rnacentral:lncRNA from 1 species
AAAUAAUUCACUGCUCAUAAACUUUUAAGCAUAAACUCAAAGAAUAAUAACCAAGUAGAUCAUAAUACUACCUAAAAACCUUUGAUUAUAACAGAAUUUUGAUAAUUUCAAAUAAUUUUGACUAAUGUUAGUGUCAUCUCUGAAUUAAGAAAUAAAUUAAUGGUGAGGACUAUGGGAGCACUCAAAUUGAUGAGCAUCAUUCUGAUUCCAGCAGAAGUUUUAUGUAUUUUUUCAAUGUAUGCCACAUCAGAAUAUGAUGACCAAAACAUGAUAUAUGGCACAUGGAUUAGUGACACUGAAGUCUCAGAUAGGAGAACUGACUCAAAAACUUAUAUAAUUAUAACAAAAAAUAUUUAUUUCAUCAUAAAAGAAUAUUACUUAAUAAUAAUACAUAAUUAUAAGAAACAGAUGACACUAUCAAACCUAUAGAAAUAAUUAGGCUUAACAACUAAUAACAAUUUAGAAUUGUUAUAAUUUUCUUGAGAGAGCUACACUUUUGCCUUUCUGAGCACAUACCUGAAAGAGGGAAUUGAUCAUCAUCUA